GAGAAUCAUCUCUUUCUACACUUAUUAUCUAUUUGUCUUUAAGAGUUGGGCUUUUCCAAGGAAAAAAAAACUUGUAAAUGCAGCACCUUCAUUAAUCAUAAAAUGAAUAGUUAUUUCCAUCAAAUUGAUAUGGAACUAGAGUUUAACCUGAGAACUACCGAUUGAAAGGAUAUCUCUAUAGUUUCAUGCUUAUAAUGCUGCUUAAAAUUUUUUAAAAGGAUUCACCAUCUAUGUUAAGCUAAACUCACUCCGUGUUUUUUUUUAAACAUUUCUGCUUUCCUUCAGGAAUUUUU
rnacentral:misc_RNA from 1 species